CUCUCAGCCGCAUAGAGGAAGAUAGUGUGCAUGCAGAGAGCAAUGGGUAGUAGAAGAGGUGUGCAGUGACAUCACUGUGUGAGUGACACCACGUACUCAUGUCUAAUAUCGAAAGAUCACUUUCUGCCCAGAGACAUCAGGGGACUCUGAGUAGGAGCGCAUGAGUGGAUCUGAGGAAGGAGGCUGCACUGGAUGAAGUUGGGGGCUGAUCCUAUUGGAAGAGAGAAGAUGCAAAUCAUGGGUAAAAAGACAGACAUGUCCUGUGGUUGGGACCAUCCUUCAUCGCAUAUCUCACCGAAAAGUCAAUUACACGGCCUCUAAAUGAACCAGCACACCCAGGAGACACAGUGGUGUGAGGCAGCUGCAUCUGUGAAGUUACAAAAACAGCCAAAUGUUUCAAAGCACGGAUGUCUGACCUCUGAUCCAAC